AAUCAACGCUGGCGGCGUGCCUCAGACAUGCAAGUCGAACGAUUAAAGCUCUCUUCGGAGAGUGCAUAGAGUGGCGCACGGGUGAGUAACACGUAAGUAAUCUACCUUCGAGUGGGGAAUAACGUCCGGAAACGGACGCUAAUACCGCAUAAUGCAGCGGCAUCGUAAGAUGACAGUUGUUAAGGAUUUAUCGCUUGAAGAGGAGCUUGCGGCAGAUUAGCUAGUUGGUAAGGUAGUGGCUUACCAAGGCUACGAUCUGUAACCGGUCUUAGAGGACGGUCGGUCACACUGACACUGAAUAACGGGUCAGACUCCUACGGGAGGCAGCAGUCGGGAAUUUUGGGCAAUGGGCGAAAGCCUGACCCAGCAACGCCGCGUGAAGGAUGAAGUAUUUCGGUAUGUAAACUUCGUAAGAAUAGGAAGAAUAAAUGACGGUACUAUUGUAAGGUCCGGCUAACUACGUGCCAGCAGCCGCGGUAAU
rnacentral:rRNA from 1 species